UCUUUCCUCUCAUUUACAUAUCUGUUUUUAUCUUCACUGUUUAGCUGGGGUCUCACCCCUUACCCCUGUCCCCAUUAACCCAGCCUUUUCCCUCCUUUUCUUCUCAAUGUUUUUGAACCCCUUUUCCUCAGCUAGCCAUGAGUAACACUUGACAGCGGUAGAACCUGGCUUACUUCUGGAACUAGAAGGAGAUCCUCGAAAUAACUAAAUUUAGGACACGCUUCGCCGACAUAUUAAACAGAGCACAGGAGAAAAGAGGAGCAUGAGAACCCAGAGGAAAUUGUACCUAUUCAGAAGUGUGGAGUGAGGAUAGAAGUGCCCAGAUUCAAAGGCAUCAUGAAGUGUCAUGACAAGAUAGAAAAGACUUUGAGCUGGCCAAGAAGGAAUUGGACAAAAUUAUGAGUGAGGUACAGCAAGUGGGAACAGUGUCACUGAACCCUAUCAACAGCAGAGCAUGAGAAUGUGAAUUCCUGUUGU
rnacentral:lncRNA from 1 species